AUGCAGAUUGUGAUCUGCAUCGACGACAUCUGGAAGACGGAACAUGUGUUGGGCUCGUGGUUCGUGGAUGGCAGGUAUGGUUUCCUCCUUCAAUGUCUUAGUUGUGGUGGGGUGCCAGAUUUGGAGUUCGAUGGUGUGUCCGUGGUGUUUCCCCAGUCUGAUUCGUUUAACGGCAAGGGUUUCACUCUUCGUCAGCCCCCUUGGAGGUCCGUAAAGCUACAUAUCAGCGAUGGAGUCGCGUCGAGCUCGGAUGAGGUGGUGAUUCAUCAUUCUUUUCUUCGGUGCCUGCUGAGGUGGUGUCGGAAGCAGGUGGCGGGCGUUGGUGUCAAGCUCAGAGAUGUUCUGCUAUCUUUUCAGUUUUGUCAUGUCGGUCUUUACGUGACUUGUACUUUGUUCUUUAUGACAUAA
rnacentral:rRNA from 1 species